rnacentral:rRNA from 1 species
GUCCUUUUGUAUUUAUUUAAGGUCUAGUCUGCCCACUGAAUUUAAAUUUUAAAUGGCCGCAGUAUUUUGACUGUGCAAAGGUAGCAUAAUCAUUAGUUUUUUAAUUAAAAGCUUGUAUGAAAGGCUGGACGAGGUAAAAUCUGUCUCUAUUUAAAUUACAAUAGAAUUUAACUUUUAAGUUAAAAGGCUUAAAUGUUAUUAAAAGACGAGAAGACCCUAUAGAUCUUUAUAAUUUAUUAAUUAAAAUUAAUUUAGAAUUAUUUAUAUUUUAUUUAAUUAAAUUAUUUUAUUGGGGUAAUAUAAAGAUUGAAUUAAUUCUUUUUUAUAAUAAACAUUAAUUUAUGAAUAUUAGAUGAUCCAGUUUUACUGAUUAUAAGAUUAAGUUACCUUAGGGAUAACAGCGUAAUUUUUUUAGAGAGUUCAUAUCGAUAAAAAAGUUUGCGACCUCGAUGUUGGAUUAAAGAUUAUUUUAGGUGUAGAAGCUUAAUAAUUUUGGUCUGUUCGACCAUUAAAUCUUUAC